GACAUCGUUGUCCCUUUCUAUUACCUAUUUUUCCUAAUUGAUUAGUUUUUUUCCUAAUUGAUUAGUUUUUCCCUCAUAUCUCUUAGUUCUGAAAGAGGCUUGCUAUUGGAGGUAGUCAACGAAGAGUCACGAGUGAAGCUUCAGCAUCGGAUCGGAGGUCGUUCGAAGUACCAUCGUCGCACUGCAGCACCAUCGUCGGAGGUAUUUGGGGACAAACAUGGCAACAUCUUACAUUUAUACGAAAGAGACUGCAGUGUGCAGAGAAGACAUCAGAAAAUAAUUGAAGAAGCUCCAGCUCCAAAUGUCCUGAAUGACUUUCGCUCUCAUGUGGGUCAUGCUGCUGUAUGUGCGGCCAAGGUCUGAAUGAGCAUUCUUGUCAAGGCAAUCAGUAUUUUAUUAUCUCAUCUCUCAUAUUUAUGAACUUGAUAUAUCUUAAUUUUUAUGAAAAUGGUGAUUGUUCUCCAGAAUUUAAGACA